AGCGAACGCUGGCGGCGUGCCUAACACAUGCAAGUCGCACGAGAAAGGGGUAGCAAUACCCCCGGUACAGUGGCGAACGGGUGAGUAACACGUGGGUAACCUACCCUCGGGUUCGGAAUAACCUGCCGAAAGGCGGGCUAAUACCGGAUGAAGACAUGAGGCCUUUCGGGCCUCGUGCCCAAAGCCGACCUCUUCACGAAAGUCGGCGCCUAAGGAGGGGCCCGCGUCCCAUUAGCUAGUUGGUGAGGUAACGGCNCACCAAGGCUCCGAUGGGUAGCCGGCCUGAGAGGGCGACCGGCCACAGUGGAACUGAGACACGGUCCACACUCCUACGGGA
rnacentral:rRNA from 1 species